AGAUUUCUUUAUUUUCACAAUGUUGCUUACAGUGUUUACAAUUUCAAAUGAUGUUUACAAACAAGCUUGCCUCAGGAAUUUUUAAGUAUUUUGACAUACAAAACAGGAACACGGCUCUAACCGCAAGUGUAGUAAAAACGGAAAUUCCACGAGAAAGAUAGAGAGAUUACGCUCUAAUUUGAAUAAGAUUGACGUGACGGUUUGGCUACUUUAUCGAAGUGACUUUUGUACUGCGAUCAACAUUAAAAACAAACAAACCUAAGGCUACUACAUUAAUAUUAUUUGUGUGUACGUACCAGCCCUAUAACACACGAUGGACAGCCGGGAAGGUUCACAAGCAUCGGUGGCGAAACCAGGACGAGGCCGCGGCUUGAUGUUGCGUAGCAGGUCGAAGAAAACAAAUUCAGACUCUGGCAUUGGUCAGUCGAUUGAUACGAACUCAAGCAAGUUAAUCAAAUCAUGUGCGCAAAGCGUAUCAUCAGUGCGCAGUCCGGCUAAUGGAACAUAUAGCUUAGAUGGGGCAACCGACACGAGUAAUGAUUUUAUUACAAACAUAUUUCGAUCCGAGUCAUGUACACCGCGGGACAUCGAAGGCACAUUUAGCAGUGACAUCCAACAAUUAAAAGAAGCACUGCCUGCCGUACCAACGGAACAACAGAACAAUAUAAGCGCGUUCUCCAACACCAACUGUCUCCAGUUCAAAGAGAAUACGGAAGUGACGAAGUUAUGCUAUCACGUAGAGUUCACUUCGCACGAGGACUACGAGCUGUUUCCCAUACAAAAAAAACAAUUUUUCCUCCAGGAGUUUGUCAAGGAUGCGCUUGAACUUCCGGCAUACUAUUUCGAACUACCGGACAAACUGUACACAGUCGGCCCACUACCACAGGACCAUUUUAAAUUACAGGGUACAAUCGAUUCGCAUCAGGUUACGGUGAGCUUUGAACUAAGCUCAAACCCCAUUAACCAAAAAGAGUUUUUUGACGUACUUCUGCAGAAGAUCGCAUUGAUGAUUACUUCACCAAAAGCCUUUGUGCCUCUGCAGUUAACGCCAGAGUAUCGACGUUUUGAACGGUACCCUGGCAAGGUUAUCGAUGUGGUCAAGGUCGACGAAAAUGACUUAAACGACCACAGAAUCUUAGUCCGCUGUUCGUCGAAUCCAGUAAAUACUGGCACUGUACGCGAUAUUAUCUCGGAGUGUCUAAUUUAUGCGAUUAGUGAGGGAGUAGAUGAAAAAUACUAUCAUCGAUUAGUCUUGGACUCUCUCAAAAAUCUCGUGGUACUUGCCGAUAUAGAGAAGACAAUUCUAAUAAUAAGCGACGUUUUGUGGGAUCAAAACAUGAGGAAAAGUCACCAUAGACAGAGCUUCUUCGAACGCCGUGGAGUGAGGGUACAACCGAGACCUAUUUUGGUUUGUAGAUACCUCCAUAAGGAAACUACCACACAUAUGGAAGCUGAGAACCUGCGCAUUCAAGGGUCUCGGAGAACGAAGAGUUCGCACCUUUUAGGGCGAGAUCACGCAGAAGGUGGUGCUGAUUGCGUUUCAAAUUUUCUUGGGGAGCCCGUUAGUGGCCAACAGAGGCAACUAGCUCUCUUGCGUUACUUGGAGAGUGCAACAAAGAAGCGAAUCGUUAAUGAGUUGGCAGCUUGGGGCCUGCAGCUCCUUGACACCGCCGUGGUGUCAAACGGAGUUCUCCUUCAAAGCGACCAAAUGUUGCAUCUGGCUAAGAACUGUUACGCUCCGGUUCAAUCACGAGGUUGGCUAGCUCGUCUGGCGGAUUUCGAAGUGACGACUCCAGUUCGAAUUUCGAGCUGGGUUGUAGUUGCGCAACGUGGUGAUGAAAAUAUCGUCAUAGCAAUGAUUGAAAAUCUUAUUAAUGACGCGCCAAAGCUAGGGAUCCAAAUAGAUUCGCCGAGAAUGGCUAAGUACAUUCUAUCCGACGAACGAAAGGCGUAUGUGCAAGCACUCAAGGCGCUUCAAGGGAAACAUAAAGAUCUACAACUCGCCAUUGUCAUAAUGCGCGCAUCACGCGACGACAUCUAUUGUGAUGUGAAAAAAUGGGCGCUAAUGUCGCAAAACAGAAAUAUUGCCACACAGGUUCUGAUUCGCGACACUGCCCGAGCUGUUGCUAGUCGACCGCAAGUUUGCUUGAGUAUUAUCACGCAAAUUAAUUGCAAAAUGGGCGGCGAUUUGUGGACGUUAGACGGAACCCUCACCGGCAUUAUGGUCAUUGGAAUGUCCGCGUACACAGGCACUUCAGGCUUCCUAUGGUUAGGAGUGGUUGCAUCAAGAGACAGACUGUUUUCCAGAUGGUAUUCCACUGCUAUUAAGGAUAUGCAGGACCUCAAAAUAGUCGCGACGAAAGCUCUUGCUAAAUACAGAGAAGCAAAUAAAGACACUAUGCCGGAAACGACGUUUGUGUUUCGAAGACAAAUGGCACCUUUAUCGCAAAGAGAAAAAGCCGACCUUCAGGGAGCAUGCGGCCCAAACACUUCACUUGUUGUAGUUACUCUUCUAGACACCGUUGAGCUGGUUGACAUCUUCAUGACUGCUGCCAAAUCGGACGAUUGUGCUACUGCUUUGACAGAUUUGCACAAGAAACUCAUUUAUGUGCCUCAGCAAAAGGGCGUGCCUACUGACGUGCUUGUCUUUCUUCUGGAGUGCAAUACAGCUCAGCUAUCCAUAAAAGUCAUUUCAAAGGUUAUCAAACAGCUCAAACAUAUGUACUUCAAUGUGGCCGGCGAAACUUCACUACCAGCCCCACUACUGUACGCCAGCAAAUGCGCGGAGUUUGUCGCGGAUGUUCUUGAAGAUCAGCCCGAGGAGCGAGUCGAGGAUCUGUUAUAUUACUUAUAGUUUGGAUCAAGUUGUUGAUGAAUUCAUGAAGCUGUAAACAUUUAUUCUUCGGAAUAGGGUUCAGUGUUCGUUCCUCCGAGCCAGCAGAGCUGAAAUUUCUACUCCAUUGAAUAUGACUUCAUCGUGGCUUAUAUACAUCAAGUGCAUUGACCCGGUGCAUAUUGUGGUAAAGUCAUGCUGUGGUCACCGACAUAUCUCACGUCGUAUGUAGACCGCAAGAGCAUGGGUUCGCGUCAACGUUAUGUUGUGUGAAUUUGAAAGAUCAGUAUUUUAGCUUAUACGGUGAUUUUAGUUUUACUAGUGUUUUUUUCCCAUAGUAUGAGUUCAACAAUUUUUAGAACACAAAAUAUCCGAAGGUUGCUAACACAUGAACUUGUAACGCUAGACAUCAAAAACAUUUCUUUCGUCUUACCUGAUUAUUCGUUUCGUAAUCAAAUUUCCCGCCGCUCUGGCUAAUAUUGUCUGCUUCACCUUAAAAACGAAACAACAACAUCGUCGAAGGCCCUUGUAGGUACGUGGAACGAUCUGUCAGGAACGAGCUUUCCAGGGAAAAUAUUCCCGCUCUGAUAAACGGAACAAUG